UGGGGAAUAUUGGACAAUGGGCGAAAGCCUGAUCCAGCAAUGCCGCGUGAGUGAUGAAGGCCUUAGGGUUGUAAAGCUCUUUUACCCGGGAUGAUAAUGACAGUACCGGGAGAAUAAGCUCCGGCUAACUCCGUGCCAGCAGCCGCGGUAAUACGGAGGGAGCUAGCGUUAUUCGGAAUUACUGGGCGUAAAGCGCACGUAGGCGGCUUUGUAAGUUAGAGGUGAAAGCCUGGAGCUCAACUCCAGAAUUGCCUUUAAGACUGCAUCGCUUGAAUCCAGGAGAGGUGAGUGGAAUUCCGAGUGUAGAGGUGAAAUUCGUAGAUAUUCGGAAGAACACCAGUGGCGAAGGCGGCUCACUGGACUGGUAUUGACGCUGAGGUGCGAAAGCGUGGGGAGCAAACAGGAGUAGAUACCCUGGUAGUCCACGCCGUGAACGAUGAUAACUAGCUGUCGGGGCUCUUAGAGCUUCGGUGGCGCAGCUAACGCUAA
rnacentral:rRNA from 1 species